rnacentral:rRNA from 1 species
AGUGAACGCUGGCGGCGUGCUUAACACAUGCAAGUCGAACGGAUGAAAUAAGCUUGCUUAUUUCGUUAGUGGCGCACGGGUGAGUAAUGUAUAGCUAGCCUGCCCUUUAGUGGGGGACAACAGUUGGAAACGACUGCUAAUACCCCAUACUCCUUCUUAUCUUAAGAUAAGUUGGGAAAGAUUUAUUGCUAAAGGAUGGGGCUUUAUGGUAUCAGCUAGUUGGUGGGGUAACGGCCUACCAAGGCGAUGACGCCUACCUGGUCUGAGAGGAUGAUCAGGCACACUGGAACUGAGACACGGUCCAGACUCCUACGGGAGGCAGCAGUGGGGAAUAUUGCACAAUGGAGGAAACUCUGAUGCAGCAACGCCGCGUGGAGGAUGACGCAUUUCGGUGUGUAAACCCCUUUUAUAAGGGAAGAUAAUGACGGUACCUUAUGAAUAAGCACCGGCUAACUCCGUGCCAGCAGCCGCCGCAG